rnacentral:rRNA from 1 species
AGAGUUUGAUCCUGGCUCAGAACGAACGCUGGCGGCAGGCUUAAUACAUGCAAGUCGAACGGUUGUAGCAAUACAGCAGUGGCAGACGGGUGAGUAACACGUGGGAACCUACCUAGGGGUACGGAAUAACUCAGGGAAACUUGUGCUAAUACCGUAUACGACCUCAGGGUGAAAGAUUUAUCGCCCAGGGAUGAGCCCGCGUAGGAUUAGCUAGUUGGUGAGGUAAAGGCUCACCAAGGCGACGAUCCUUAGCUGGUCUGAGAGGAUGAUCAGCCACACUGGGACUGAGACACGGCCCAGACUCCUACGGGAGGCAGCAGUAGGGAAUAUUGGACAAUGGGGGCAACCCUGAUCCAGCAAUGCCGCGUGAGUGAUGAAGGCCUUAGGGUUGUAAAGCUCUUUUACCCGGGAUGAUAAUGACAGUACCGGGAGAAUAAGCCCCGGCUAACUCCGUGCCAGCAGCCGCGGUAAUACGGAGGGGGCUAGCGUUGUUCGGAAUUACUGGGCGUAAAGCGCACGUAGGCGGCGAUUUAAGUCAGAGGUGAAAGCCCGGGGCUCCACCCCGGAAUAGCCUUUGAGACUGGAUUGCUUGAACAUCGGAGAGGUGAGUGGAAUUCCGAGUG